ACACUCCUACGGGAGGCAGCAGUGGGGAAUUUUGGACAAUGGGCGAAAGCCUGAUCCAGCAAUGCCGCGUGAGUGAAGAAGGCCUUCGGGUUGUAAAGCUCUUUUGUCAGGGAAGAAACGGUGAGAGCUAAUAUCUCUUGCUAAUGACGGUACCUGAAGAAUAAGCACCGGCUAACUACGUGCCAGCAGCCGCGGUAAUACGUAGGGUGCAAGCGUUAAUCGGAAUUACUGGGCGUAAAGCGUGCGCAGGCGGUUUUGUAAGUCUGAUGUGAAAUCCCCGGGCUCAACCUGGGAAUUGCAUUGGAGACUGCAAGGCUAGAAUCUGGCAGAGGGGGGUAGAAUUCCACGUGUAGCAGUGAAAUGCGUAGAUAUGUGGAGGAACACCGAUGGCGAAGGCAGCCCCCUGGGUCAAGAUUGACGCUCAUGCACGAAAGCGUGGGGAGCAAACAGGAUUAGAAACCCGGGUAGUCCCAUG
rnacentral:rRNA from 1 species